UUUAUGUCUAAAAAAUUGAAGAAAAAAACUCUAGUAUAAGAACGCGACUAAAAUCGUAUUUAAAAAUCUCAGCCUUUAUUAGCUGGGCACGCAAGUAACUAAUUUAAAAGAAACUCAGUUAAUACAAAUAAAGAGUUAAAAAUAUACAAUAAUACAGUCCUUUUACGCUAAUUUUCGUCAAAUUUCAUUUAUUUAUGAACAUUCAAAUGGCAGGUUUUAUGCUAAAUCUCAAUAAUUUUUUUUUUUCAGGCUAGGUUAGGUUUGCAAAUCAGUUAAAUUCUGCUUUUUAACGAAACUUUGCCAGAAAUCACAAUUGAAAAUAAUCAGUUGAUUUCUGCUGAAACUAGUGACAAUGCUCCAAAUUAUUGAAUCAAAUGGGUAUCAAAACGGAGGGAGUGCAGAGCAGCCAAAGCCCCGCUGAACUGACCUCCAGGGCCUCCUGAUUCGCAGAAUGACCUCAGACAAUCAAAAUCAUCUCUGUGACUCAAUCUACGUCCAGCAUUCAUAUCUGCAGUGACAAAUAUUUAGCUUUUACAUUCACCAAAAAACUUUUUUUCGAAAAAUGAUUUGAUGAUACAUAAACGAUUUGUAUUAAAAAGUCAGCUUUAUUUGAGAUCACGACGUCUAUUUUGUUUGUCUAUAAAUUUCACAAAUUCCUGAACUUGCAUGCAUAACUAUAAGCAGCUUUAUAUAAUGAUAGACAAAUUUUAUAUCAUUUUACAGGUAUAUCAUAAAUCUAGCUAUAUGAAAAACAAUUAAAAAAACAUAAUAGUUUUUGUGAAAUACUUGAAUAAUAAUGCACAAUAAAAACACAAAUUUAAGUAGUUCACA